rnacentral:tRNA from 1 species
UACCCCCAGGGGAAGUCGAAUCCCCGCUCCCUCC